rnacentral:rRNA from 1 species
CUCCGGUUGAUCCCGCCGGACCCGACUGCUAUCGGAUUGAGAUUUAGCCAUGCGAGUCGAACGUUCCCCUGUUGCGGGGAGCGUGGCGUACGGCUCAGUAACACGUAGUCAACCUGCCCUGGAGACAAGGACAACCCCGGGAAACUGGGAUUAAUCCUUGAUAGGUCAUCUCAUCUGGAAGGAGAGAUGGCUUAAAGGGGUACGCGGGCUUCUUCCGCGAAUUCGCUCCAGGAUGGGACUGCGUCCGAUCAGGCUGUUGGCGGGGUAAUGGCCCACCAAACCUGUAACCGGUACGGGCCUUGAGAGAGGUGGCCCGGAGAUGGACACUGAGAGAAGGGUCCAGGUCCUACGGGGCGCAGCAGGCGCGAAACCUUCGCAAUGCGCGAAAGCGUGACGAGGUUAAUCCGAGUGACUCCCGCUGAGGGGGUCUUUUGUCAGCUGUAAAUAGGCAGGCGAAUAAGGGGAGGGCAAGCCUGGUGUCAGCCGCCGCAGUAAUACCAGCUCCUCGAGUGGUCGGGGCGAUUAUUGGGCCUAAAGCAUCCGUAGCCGGUUCCGUAGGUCCUCUGUUAAAUCCAACCGCUCAACGGUUGACCUGCAGAGGAUACCGCGGGACUAGGAGGCGGGAGAGGCGGACGGUACUCCGCGUGUAGGGGUAAAAUCCUUUGAUCCGCGGAAGACCACCAGUGGCGAAGGCGGUCCGCCAGAACGCGCUCGACGGUGAGGGAUGAAAGCUGGGGGAGCAAACCGGAUUAGAUACCCGGGUAGUCCCAGCCGUAAACGAUGCAGACUCGGUGAUGGGUUGGCUUCGCGCUAACUCAGUGCCGCAGGGAAGCCGUUAAGUCUGCCGCCUGGGUAGUACGGUCGCAAGACUGAAACUUAAAGGAAUUGGCGGGGGAGCA